UGCGCCUUCCCACACUUACCAAAUCGUCGCUCGCAGGUCGUUGUUCAUUCGCAACCCUGCCCAUCGAUAAUUCAUUUGUUCGCAGCCCCUACCAUCGAUCAAAAUCAUCUCGCACCCACCGAUUUUUUGGUAGCGCAUGCCCUAUGCCGGUAUUUUCUGAUUUGUUUCUAUUGCUCACCCUUUGAGAUCGAUCUCCUUCCCGAUUCAUCCUGGAAAACAAAUCCUACCGAUUAUGAGUUUUAUUUCCAUUCUUUUCAAACCGAGCCCCACCCGAUCUGAAUCUAGACAAGGGGUUUUCCCUCCCUUCCAAGUUCAAACCCAUCACGUCUGUUCUGCCAGCCAUGGAAGAGAGGUCGGGGAGGGGAGCGUGGUGGCAUGUGGACCAACAAGCAGGAAAAGGACAUGCCGAUGCAGGCAGUGGCUCCUCUACCGCUCACCACGACCCCACUGCUGGUCGUGUGCUGGUUCUCCAUCCACCCCCACCUCCAACUCGAUCUUCGGUUGUCGCUAAUAGCUAGUCUGCGACCGUUCUGUGGGCCUACAGUGGUGCUGAUCCAAGAUGAUGUUGCCUUGCCCUUGAGCACGCCGCCGCGGAUGGCAGCGGCGCACAAUCAUCCGUUUCCGUGAGCCUGCCUCCACCGUGGUCGUGAUGGCCAUGCCCCAGUUGCGCUCAAGGCCCUCGCCUGCACACCUCUCACGAAAGUUCUCCGCUGCCGCCCUACCCGAUGCACACCAUGUCGGAUCCUUCCUAUGGCCUGUGCCCCUGCCCACGCACUACCCAGGCAUGCGGGCCAUAGCAAGGGCCCGUCCGAUACACACACAUCACAGUCCACCAAAGAAUCGUUGCCCCGAGCAAAGGUGGGUUCGGUGGCGCCGGUGGAGGAAGAAUUGUCAAUGAGAACCUGGACUUAGAUGCAGGGUCAUCGAAGAGAAGGACAACACCCCAGCCUUCAUACACAUGAUGGAACACACAUUGCCGACGAUGCGGUACCAGGCCUACGGAAGAGAUCCUGAGGUAUGUAUGAAGCCUUCAGAGCUUUUUAGUUGAGCGACUGCAUAACUGAAGAAUUUUGUGUGUGUAGUCUUUCAAAGUUGAUUUAGACACCUUAGAAUUCAAGAUCAUGGUUGUCUGAUCUUUUCAAAAUUAUAUCAAUUAUUGUACUGUUUUCGGAUUGAUGAUGAGAGAUGUAGAUUUCUGAGAUUAGUUGCAAUGAAAUUUGGUUCAGUAAUUCAAUGCUUAGACAUACAAGAUGCUAUACUAGAGCUCAGGAUAAAAAAGUUUGGUCACUUUGUUUCAUUCUAUAAUGCCCGCCGCAGUACUGCAUUAGCACUAUCUUCAAAGAUGCGUUCCCAGAUGUUGUUAGGGAUUUCUUCUGGGGAUGAUGACUUAUGGAUCAAGAACACUUGCGACGAUAUGCUUCUGCAGCGUGAGACAUUGAAUGUGUGCAUAAAGACUAGAACGAUAGUUGUUUGCUGGGUCAGGAAGGUGAGGUAUCUGCGUGAUAUCCCUCGCAAUCUUUGUGAAAAAGCAUGACACUACUUGCCUUGCAUGUGUUCUGCAAUGACAAGGAGUAUGCUAUCGGCCACAGGGUAUGGGCUUCUGGAAAGACGUACUAGUGCGCUAAUAAGGUAUGUGAUGAAAUAGUACAACUUUGUCUGAUAGAAAGCUACUAUUAUUGGAGUAUACACAUUCACAUGAUUGCUUUUACAACCAUUUUUAGGGUACCUUUACGUAUGUACUUGAGAUGGAAACUCUUUCUGUUUGUUUAAUGUUCCCAUUUGCAAAUUUUCAUCAUGUGAUUGCUUUUACAGUCAUUGCCGCUUUGUCCAUAUUUGGUUAAGAUGCACUACAUUCUAUAUCUUUCUACGCCAAGCAUAUUUCUCUUUUCUAUCUGUAGUUCCUCGCAUACAUAAGCAAAUGACAAUGCAUAUUAUGUUCCCUCUCCCUCUAUAUAUCUCCAAAUUCGUGGUAGCAAGAAUCACUACGUACUGACCACAUCGUCAAUAUGAAUUUAGACCUAUAUGAUGGAAUCAAUAAGACAACAUAGCUUUCAUUCUUAUAAAGGAGGUCAGUUCCAUUCAAACCAUUUAGCUAUGUGCAGUUAAAUUGUCAAUCAUCUAUUAGAUGCUUUUUACAUCAAAAGGGGUGAUUUCACCCAACUUUUUACAUGUGGUCACCGUCAUAGAUAAUAUAAAAUAUUUGCAGUUCAAACUGACGUCAAGAAUAUAGAUCCUUUGAAAGUUAAGCUUGGUUACCAUGCGUACAACUGGUGACUGAUCGUACAAGCAUUGCGGCCAUUGAUUCUUGCUUUCAUUUAGGUUAAUUAGCACUAGAAUCAUUAGUAUCGACACAAAUGCAAACAGAGUCAUUAGUAUCUUCUAACGGCUAGCAUUGACUUGAUUAAUUUGAUGUGUUGCCACCAUCACAGGCCAGCAGCCCGGGGCGCAAUGAUGUGCCUGUGAACUCGCCGCUGUCCGUGCAUAUCGGGCAUCCAAGCGUGCCCAGUAGUCACAUGGUCGCCCCGCAGAUGAAAAAAUCAGUUUUUGCAGAUAUUAUGAGGCCGAGUUGGGCGUUGAACCAGCAGUCCACGGUGGCGAGGAACCUGGUUACGAUAGGGUUGCGUAUCAUCGAGCCCGGCACUGAGCAUGUGCAUGGCCCAGCCUUCUGCUGACGGCAAUGCGGCUCCCUGUUUAUUAUUGACGUGAGAUUAUGUGGGAUGUAGGAUGUCCGCUUGUCCCAUCAAAAAUUAUGUGGACACAUAUGGGCCUCCCACUUAUAUUAUGCAGCAGAUGUAGUUGUGGAUGUGGAUUGGGGUUAGUUUGUUGAGUUACAGUUGUCUGAGCGAAAUAAUUUUCCUACUUUAGAAAAUAUGGCAAAUAGUGUUGCAUUAGAGAUGGCUUUGUAACAAAUUGCAUGAGUAGUUUAUAUUUUUUCCAUCAAGUCGUACAAUUUUUUGGUUAGGUUCGAAGGGUAAAUGCAUUGGUUGGUUGCUUCAAGACUUGAUA